GACGAACGCUGGCGGCGUGCUUAACACAUGCAAGUCGAACGGAAAGGCCCUGCUUUUGUGGGGUGCUCGAGUGGCGAACGGGUGAGUAACACGUGAGUAACCUGCCCUUGACUUUGGGAUAACUUCAGGAAACUGGGGCUAAUACCGGAUAGGAGCUCCUGCUGCAUGGUGGGGGUUGGAAAGUUUCGGCGGUUGGGGAUGGACUCGCGGCUUAUCAGCUUGUUGGUGGGGUAGUGGCUUACCAAGGCUUUGACGGGUAGCCGGCCUGAGAGGGUGACCGGCCACCAUGGGACUGAGAUACGGCCCAGACUGCUACGGGAGGCAGCAGUGGGGAAUAUUGCACAAUGGGCGGAAGCCUGAUGCAGCAACGCCGCGUGCGGGAAGACCGCCUUCGGGUUGUAAACCGCUUUCGCCUGUGACGAAGCGUGAGUGACGGUAAUGGGUAAAGAAGCACCGGCUAACUACGUG
rnacentral:rRNA from 1 species